CGAAGGGCGUAGCGUUGCUCGGAAUCACUGGGCGUAAAGGGUAGGCGUAGGCGGGUCGUUUAAGUCAGGGGUGGAAAUACCUGGAGCUCAACUCCAGAACUGCCUUUGAUACUGAAGAUCUUGAGUCCGGGAGAGGUGAGUGGAACUGCGAGUGUAGAGGUGAAAUUCGUAGAUAUUCGCAAGAACACCAGUGGCGAAGGCGGCUCACUGGCCCGGUACUGACGCUGAGGCACGAAAGCGUGGGAGCAAACAGGAUU
rnacentral:rRNA from 1 species